GUGGCAGGAUGAUGUGUUCAGAAGGUGGGAGGAUGAUGGAAAAUUAGGAAAUUAAAAUGUCUGUCAAACUUCAGAGACAAGAGAUGGCUGAAAAAUCAUCAUGGUGGUCUGGUCUGAAUGGAGAAGAUAAGGAAAGAGAACAUCUACAUCAAAGGAGACAUCAC